AUAUUUCUGGAGUAUUCGUGGAGCUCUUAUUUUGAACCUACAGAACUUAAACGGGAGUUCAAUAUUAUGAUGUGAAAUUGUACUAUAAGUCUAUAAUAUGUUUAUAGCAUGAUCAUAGAAGCAUCUUUGAGGACACCCACCUAUCGGAGAGAUAGGUGUCAAAAUCGGAGCAGCGGUAUUUUGGAAUUUAA
rfam:Clostridium botulinum D str. 1873 CLG.Contig181, whole genome shotgun sequence.